UAGGCUCUGAUGGGGUGUAGCGAUGUGUGCUGUAAACUAACCCAGACUUUUUUUUAAAAAUGAUACCAAACCAAUAGCUAGAGGAUCAUCAUCAGUCUGUUGAAUUGGUGUUAAUUACAUUAAGGGACUUAAUCACUCUUUUUUUAUUUCCAGAAAAUAAUACCAGGGUUAUGCUCCUUUCACCGUUGAGUUCCAGGAUGAAGAAUGAAAGACAGAGAGCAAUGUGAAGACAUCAAAGAAUGUGCAGGUCUGCCAUGAAAUGGUUUAUCCAGGGCUAAGUACAGAGAGGAAUAUAGAAGGGCUGUUGACUGAUCUUGUGUGGUGCCCCCAUGGCUCAACAGACUGAUUGAUAGAAAAUAAUACCAGGGUUAUGUUCCUUUCACUGUUGAGUUCCAGGAUGAAGAAUGAAAGACAGAGAGCAAUGUGAAGACAUCAAAGAAUGUGCAGGUCUGCCAUGAAAUGGUUUAUCCAGGGCUAAGUACAGAGAGGAAUAUAGAAGGGCUGUUGACAGAUCUUGUGUGGUGCCCCCAUGGUUCAACAGACUGAUUGAUAGGUAAUGAAAAUAAUACCAGGGUAAUGGUCCUUUCACUGUUGAGUUCCAGGAUGAAGAAUGAGAAAGACAGAGAGCAAUGUGAAGACAUCAAAGAAUGUGCAGGUCUGCCAUGAAAUGGUUUAUCCAGGGCUAAGUACAGAGAGGAAUAUAGAAGGGCUGUUGACAGAUCUUGUGUGGUGCCCCCAUGGUUCAACAGACUGAUUGAUAGGUAAUGAAAAUAAUACCAGGGUUAUGGUCCUUUCACUGUUGAGUUCCAGGAUGAAGAAUGAAAGACAGAGAGCAAUGUGAAGACAUCAAAGAAUAGCCAGGUAUGCCAUGAAAUGGUUAUCCAGGGCUAAUUAAAGAGGAAUAUAGAAGGGCUGUUGACAGAUCUUGUGU